rnacentral:rRNA from 1 species
UACAGGGGGGGCGAGCGUUGUUCGGAAUUACUGGGCGUAAAGGGUUUGUAGGUGGCUUGCUCAGUCAGACGUGAAAUCCCUCAGCUUAACUGGGGAACUGCGUCUGGUACUAGCGAGCUUGAGUGCAGGAGAGGAACGCGGAAUUCCAGGUGUAGCGGUGAAAUGCGUAGAUAUCUGGAGGAACACCGGUGGCGAAGGCGGCGUUCUGGACUGCAACUGACACUGAAAAACGAAAGCCAGGGGAGCAAACGGG